ensembl:lncRNA
GUGUUACUCUUGAUUGAUUCUCAUGCAGUGAAUCAUUUUCACCCUUCUACUUGCCCAAGCUUGCUUCAACUAAGGAAGCUGUCGUGUGAAAACACCCUUAGUUGCCUCAGACAGGUGACCUUCACAUUGCAUUACUGGUUGAUAGCCCCAUUGACCCUAAGUUCCUUUGAGGACUCUUCCUGUUACGAGAAGGGUCUUGCAGGCAGAUGUCCAGAUUUUAAGACAAGGUUGUCCUUGUCCUGGAGAGAAGUCACAAUUAAUCAAGAUUACAGGUGGAAAUGCAUCCCAACAGCAGGAGGUGCUUCUUUCCAUUGCACACCAGCCAAACCAGCUCACCACAUUCAUUCAUCAUGCCUGAGCACUGACCCCAUGUCUUGAGGGCAAAAAUGGUCCAGACCGAGGGAGACAAUGAAGAUGGGAGAGACAAAGAUGGCAAACUAGAUUAAGAAACGCAAACACUGGGGUCAUGCAGGGUUUUCCUGCAGACAGGGACAUUAAUAAACCUGAAACUGCACUGAGCUCUGAUGAUGAG